rnacentral:rRNA from 1 species
GAUGAACGCUAGCGGGAGGCUUAACACAUGCAAGUCGAGGGGCAGCACGAGAUAGCAAUAUUUUGGUGGCGACCGGCGCACGGGUGAGUAACACGUAUGCAACCUACCUCGUACAGGGGGAUAACCCGGAGAAAUUCGGACUAAUAUCCCAUAAUAAUAUUGAAAGGCAUCUUUUAAUAUUUAAAGCUCAGGCGGUACGGGAUGGGCAUGCGGAACAUUAGCUAGUUGGUAGGGUAACGGCCUACCAAGGCUGCGAUGUUUAGGGGACCUGAGAGGGUUAUCCCCCACACUGGUACUGAGACACGGACCAGACUCCUACGGGAGGCAGCAGUGAGGAAUAUUGGUCAAUGGGCGCAAGCCCUGAACCAGCCCAUCCCGCGUGAAGGAAGAAGGCGCUAUGCGUCGUAAACUUCUUUUCCAGGGGGAGAAUUUUCCGGUCGUGACCGGAAUUGACGGUACUCUGGGAAUAAGCAUCGGCUAACUCCGUG